rnacentral:rRNA from 1 species
GACGAACGCUGGCGGCGUGCCUAACACAUGCAAGUCGAGCGGAGUCGAUCGACGGAAGCCUUCGGGCGGAAGAUGGUUGACUUAGCGGCGGAUGGGUGAGUAACGCGUGGGCAACCUGCCUCGAAGACCGGGAUAACAGCCCGAAAGGGCUGCUAAUACCGGAUGUGGUCAAGGAUCCGCAUGGAUUUUUGAUUAAAGGGGAAACCCGUUUCGAGAUGGGCCCGCGUCCUAUCAGCUAGUUGGUGAGGUAAAAGCUCACCAAGGCGACGACGGGUAGCCGGCCUGAGAGGGUGACCGGCCACACUGGAAUUGAGACACGGUCCAGACUCCUACGGGGGCAGCAGUGGGGAAUCUUCCACAAUGGGCGAAAGCCUGAUGGAGCGACGCCGCGUGAGCGAAGAAGGCCUUCGGGUUGUAAGCUCUGUCUGGAGGGACGAAGGAAGUGACGGUACCUCCGGAGGAAGCCACGGCUAACUACGUGCCAGCCGCCGCGGUAACACCCACGACGAGUACUGAGCGGCG